rnacentral:rRNA from 1 species
CCGUUGUACACACCGCCCGUCACACCAUGGAGCGGGUUCUGCCAGAAGUAGUUAGCCUAACCGCAAGGAGGGCGAUUACCACGGCAGGGUUCGUGACUGGGGUG